AAUUAGCUCCGAUAGAAAUGGUUACCCUCAACAAGCAAUGCCAUUUUUAAGUGUCGACGUGAGGAGUAUGAGCGAAUUCCGGGAAAAAGC
rnacentral:sRNA from 1 species